rnacentral:lncRNA from 1 species
ACAAUCAAGCUUACCAAGCACCACUGGCUUCUUCAGAGAAGGGGCCUGUAAAGUGCAAGCAGACUUGGUGAAAUGUAAGGUAAAACCAGGUUGGUGAAGCAAUUUGGAUACAGAUAUCAAAUUAUACUAGAAACUAGGAAUGUAUAAGACAUUGUGCAGAACAAGGUCAGGAAAUAAAGCCAAAGAACCAGUAUUGGUGACUUUGACUUUAUAUCC